AACAGCGACCCCUUGAGGAUUGCGGCGGCGCAGCCCCGGGACGCGCUGGGAGCUCCGCCCGGCUCCUGUGGAGGAAGCGGCGAGGGAGAGCCGCAGGGUCUCGGCGCCUCUGCGUGCUUGCACUUAACCUCCGAGAACCCAGAGCGAACGCGAUGCACAUUUCUCUUUUUGUUUUAAAAGUAAAUAUAGGAAUUACAGCAUAGAAUUACAAUAUCUGGAAAUUUGAACUGACAGGUCCCAGUCACAGUAUGGCACCGCGCGACACACUUGGUCCCUGAGGCCUGGAUGCCGCACAGCGAACGUUUGCGGAAUAGGGUUGGAUUUACUGUCCCCCACCGAGCCGGUUGCUCAUUCAUUUAGCAUAACUGAAUACCUCCUGUGUGCCAGGCACUGAAUCGAGUGUCGGAGAUACCACGCUGAACAAGACAGUGUCCUGCCCUCAAGCUCCCGGUCGGUUACUUGACAACCUUCCAGGACCUCAACACUACGUGCCUACUGUGUGAAAGCAAAGUGCCAGGUGGAGGACACAAAGAUGGCGAGCGACACAGCAUACCCCUUAACAAUUAAGCGUGACUAAUUUUAAUAACAAAUGAGAAUAUGAUGUGACAUCCGUUCCAAAUCCUGUCAUUCCAAUUAACUUCUUAAGCAUGCUUCACGAUACAGCCUCUGCUUGAAAGGAAUUAAAACAGGUACAAGCAUGGAAGGAGACGUUGCUAUCAUAUUUCAAGAAUAAGAAAAUGCUCUCUCUGUUUUGUGUGGUUGUGCAGCAGGCAAUGAAAUGAGCUCACAUUCAGGCUUCCGUGUUUCACUGAAACCACAGUCACAGAUGCAAUAGAUGUGAAAAGACGAGUGCAGUAAAAGCAUUAUGAGGACAAGAAGAAAACGUAAAUAUUUGUGUUGUUUCAUUCUUUGUUGUGGCAGAAACAGCCCCCUCUCUAAGGUAACUCCAAUAUAAUGGAAUCUCCCAGCUUUGAAAUACUCCAUGUCUCUAAUUUUCCAGAAAUAUGGAAAAAUAAGUUUAUAAUAAAAAAAUCCUAUUUCUCAUUUAUUGUCUAUUUUAGGUCUUUAUGUGGAAAAGCACUUACCCUCUUCCCAGAGCGCUGUUUUUAAAGUAGGUAUAUUUGCCGUAACCUAUGCUCGUCUCUAUAAAAGGAUCACACCACCGUGACCCCCAUUAAAGAAUUUCCCCUUGGCAAGAUGGCUGCCUCAGCAGCGCUGUUCUCGCGCUUGCGGAGCGGGCUCCGACUCGGCUCGCUGGGACUGUGCACGAGGUUGGCGACGCCGCCCCUCCGGGCCCCAGAUCAGGCCGCAGAGAUCGGGAGACGCGGGGGCACUAAGGCACAAGGGCCACAGCAGCAGCCAGGCUCAGAGGGUCCCAGCUAUGCCAAAAAAGUUGCGCUCUGGCUUGCUGGGCUGCUUGGAGCUGGUGGGACCGUGAGCGUCGUCUAUAUCUUUGGAAACAACCCAGUGGACGAAAAUGGUGCCAAGAUUCCUCAUGAGUUCCACAAUGAUCCAAUUCUGGUACAGUAGUUGCGCCGGACAUACAAAUAUUUCAAAGAUUAUAGACAGAUGAUCAUCAAGCCCACCGGCCCUUGCCUUCUCCCAGACCCACUGCAGGAGCCGUACUACCAGCCACCCUACACGCUCGUUUUGGAGCUCACCGGCGUCCUCUUGCAUCCUGAGUGGUCGCUGGCCACUGGCUGGAGGUUUAAGAAGCGCCCAGGCAUCGAGACCUUGUUCCAGCAGCUCACCCCUUUAUAUGAAAUUGUCAUCUUUACGUCAGAGACUGGCAUGACUACGUUUCCACUCAUUGAUAGCGUGGACCCCCACGGCUUCAUCUCCUACCGCCUAUUCCGGGAAGCCACAAGAUACAUGAAUGGACACCAUGUUAAGGACAUUUCAUGUCUGAAUCGGGACCCAGCUCGAGUAGUAGUUGUGAACUGCAAGAAGGAAGCCUUCCGCCUGCAGCCCUAUAAUGGCGUCGCCCUGCAGCCCUGGGACGGCAACCCUGAUGACCGGGUCUUGUUGGACCUGUCUGCCUUCCUCAAGACUAUUGCACUGAACGGUGUGGAGGACGUGCGAAACAUACUGGAGCACUACGCCCUGGAGGAUGAUCCGCUGGCAGCUUUCAAACAGCAGCAAAGCCGGCUAGAGCAGGAGGAGCAGCGGCGCCUGGCCGAGCUCUCCAAGUCCAAGAAGCAGAACCUCUUCCUCGGCUCCCUCACCAGCCGCUUGUGGUCUCGCUCCAAACAGCCCUGAACUCCGGGCCUCCUCAAACUCAGUGCCGGGGUCCAGAGCCCCAGUGCUUCCAGACCAAAACUUGGGCCACCACUGUCCAAUAAAGUACAUCCCAGACGCCACACCUGCUGUGUCCCGAGAGUCUCCAGAUGGGGGCAUCAGGAUGAGGUCCGGGACUCUCAGGUCACCAUCCCACAGUGGCUGAUUGGCUGCCAAGCACAGAGUAGGGGCUUUGUUGGAUCACAGCGGAUUUUUCACCCUGGUCUGGGAAUGUAAAAACCCUCGCUGUGUCAAAAAAAAAAAAAAAUAAUAAUAAUAAUAAUAAAUUUCCCCUUUAAUGGUGGACACGGUGGUGUACCUGAAUCCUCAUCCUCAAGUGUUUCCAUCUUCCCAGGCUUGGAAAAACAACAGUGUUACUUCUUUCUUUUGCACGCUCUGUAGCUGUAAUCCUGUUUCCCCAUUCUCCAUAAAACACUUACCUUAUUUUCA